rnacentral:rRNA from 1 species
GAUGAACGCUGGCGGCGUGCCUAAUACAUGCAAGUCGAGCGAACGGACGAGAAGCUUGCUUCUCUGAUGUUAGCGGCGGACGGGUGAGUAACACGUGGAUAACCUGCCUAUAAGACUGGGAUAACUUCGGGAAACCGGAGCUAAUACCGGAUGAUAUUUUGAACCGCAUGGUUCAAAAGUGAAAGACGGUCUUGCUGUCACUUAUAGAUGGAUCCGCGCUGCAUUAGCUAGUUGGUAAGGUAACGGCUUACCAAGGCAACGAUGCAUAGCCGACCUGAGAGGGUGAUCGGCCACACUGGAACUGAGACACGGUCCAGACUCCUACGGGAGGCAGCAGUAGGGAAUCUUCCGCAAUGGGCGAAAGCCUGACGGAGCAACGCCGCGUGAGUGAUGAAGGUCUUCGGAUCGUAAAACUCUGUUAUUAGGGAAGACCAUAUGUGUAAGUAACUGUGCACAUCUUGACGGUACCUAAUCAGAAAGCCACGGCUAACUACGUG